rnacentral:misc_RNA from 1 species
GAUGAAGAACGUAGCGAAAUGCGAUAAGUAAUGUGAAUUGCAGAAUUCAGUGAAUCAUCGAAUCUUUGAACGCACCUUGCACCCUUUGGCAUUCCGAAGGGUAUGCUCGUUUGAGUGUCAUUGUACUCUCACACUUCUGAUCCUUUGGAUUGGGAGCGGUGGACUUGGGUGUUGCUGCUUUACUGUGGCUCACCUCAAAUGCAUUCGUGCAACUCUUGGUUGGACAUAGUACGGCGUGAUAAGUAUCUUCGCCGGCACCUCGCAAGAGGGUGGCUGAUCAGGAGCUCUGUGCUUUCCAACUGUCUUCAGACAACAACUGACAACUUGACCUCAAAUCGAGUAGGACCACCCGCUGAACUUAAGCAUAUCAAUAAGCGGAGGA